rnacentral:misc_RNA from 1 species
UUUCCGUAGGUGAACCUGCGGAAGGAUCAUUACCGAGCUCCGGCCCUUCGGGGUAGAGCCGCCACCCUUUCGUCCCCGACAGUAGCUGCUUUGGCGGGCCCGCCCCCCAGCGACCCCAAACCCUGAGUGUUAGUGUCGUCGGAGUACUUUACAAUAGUUAAAACUUUCAACAACGGAUCUCUUGGUUCUG